ACUCUCCCUGUCCUUCCUUUCUGCAGCACUGUCCAGAUCAGCUUCUUCCACAUGGGAGGGAAAAUGGCUGCUGACGGCUCCCAAGCCUCAAUCCCUUCACCCUUGCCACUGGUCCCCACAUCCCUCUUUUAUUGUGAGGUCCAGAACUAGACACAGUCCUCCAGUACAGCCCUCAACAUCACUGAACAGCAGCACAAGGGAUGUUUGUAUUCUUCUGAAUGAAAGCAUAAAAGUCAUCUGAACCUUGAGCCUCAAAGACCAGUGACCUCCAAACUUGACAACUCAACUUAUAAGAAUCAACUCGGCUGCUUACUAAACAUAUAUAGAUGUCUGAGCAAAGAACUGAAAUGCGAUGCAUUAAAAUGGUCACACACCACGGAUUUUUCUCCUCGCUGCACCCAUGGAGGGAGGCGCUGUCUCCGCCUUUUCCUGUAAGCACCUGCCCGGGGCCCAAGCCCACAGUGGAUGGCUCGUCCAGCUCAGAGAGCGCCCAGGACGCAGUGAGGAAGCAGAAUUGGGCGCUCAAGACUCAGACCCGGACUGAUGAGCUAAGACUGCUUGCAAG
rnacentral:lncRNA from 10 species